rnacentral:rRNA from 1 species
AGUGAACGCUGGCGGCAGGCCUAACACAUGCAAGUCGAACGGCAGCACAGGAGAGCUUGCUCUCUGGGUGGCGAGUGGCGGACGGGUGAGGAAUACAUCGGAAUCUACCUUGUCGUGGGGGAUAACGUAGGGAAACUUACGCUAAUACCGCAUACGACCUACGGGUGAAAGCAGGGGACCUUCGGGCCUUGCGCGAUUGGAUGAGCCGAUGUCGGAUUAGCUAGUUGGCGGGGUAAAGGCCCACCAAGGCGACGAUCCGUAGCUGGUCUGAGAGGAUGAUCAGCCACACUGGAACUGAGACACGGUCCAGACUCCUACGGGAGGCAGCAGUGGGGAAUAUUGGACAAUGGGCGCAAGCCUGAUCCAGCCAUACCGCGUGGGUGAAGAAGGCCUUCGGGUUGUAAAGCCCUUUUGUUGGGAAAGAAAUCCAGCCGGCUAAUACCUGGUUGGGAUGACGGUACCCAAAGAAUAAGCACCGGCUAACUUCGUG